ensembl:lincRNA
UGGGUCUGAAGGUGAUCCAGUGCAGUGGGGAGGGGAGAGAGGUGGUGCUUCCUCUGCUUUAUGCAUAUAAAGUGUUCUUCUUGGUUCCUAGCAGACAGUGAACACCCCCCCUUGGAGAGCCUUGAUGCUGAGCUGUCAGACAAUGCAGCAGGAAAUGAGUCCAUUCCUCCAG